rnacentral:rRNA from 1 species
AUUGAACGCUGGCGGCAGGCUUAACACAUGCAAGUCGAGCGGGGUGAUGGUGCUUGCACUAUCACUUAGCGGCGGACGGGUGAGUAAUGCUUAGGAAUCUGCCUAUUAGUGGGGGACAACAUCUCGAAAGGGAUGCUAAUACCGCAUACGUCCUACGGGAGAAAGCAGGGGAUCACUUGUGACCUUGCGCUAAUAGAUGAGCCUAAGUCGGAUUAGCUAGUUGGUGGGGUAACGGCCUACCAAGGCGACGAUCCGUAGCGGGUCUGAGAGGACGAGCCGCCACACUGGGACUGAGACACGGCCCAGACUCCUACGGGAGGCAGCAGUGGGGAAUAUGGGACAAUGGGGGGAACCCUGAUCCAGCCAUGCCGCGUGUGUGAAGAAGGCCUUAUGGUUGUAAAGCACUUUAAGCGAGGAGGAGGCUCUUUUGGUUAAUACCCAAGAUGAGUGGACGUUACUCGCAGAAUAAGCACCGGCUAACUCUGUGCCAGCAGCCGCAGUAA